GUCACAUUGUUUUUUACAGGCGCCGUCUUUCGCGGCACAGCGCCAUCUAGGGUCACGGAAUUGGACGGGUCACGGAAUUCGGCACAACACCGGGCCGGAGCUGGAGAAGGAGCGGGACUCCAAUGCACGGCGCCGGGGGAGCCGAUCCUUCGCCGGAUUAACCUCACGUUAAUACGCGUGAGCUGAGACAGGCCGAGUCGAUGUGGACCGGAGCCCCCCAGUCGCCAAGCCUGCAGCACUUUGGGACGAAGCACCAGAAACUCUCGUCGGAGCAGCUAAUUGGCUUUUUAAGGGCGAACUCCAACACGCAGCACGUGGCCGCUGGUGACGGUGAAGGGGGACGCUCUUCGCGCGCGGCGCCCGGAGGUUCGGCCUUCCAGCUCGAGGCGACACUGGGUGCCACCGACUUUGCCAGACCUCAGCCUCCCAAACCCCCCCACGCCGCGGAGCCCGUGUUCCGGGUGAAGAACAGCAGUGGCGGGUCCUUGGUCUACAGCAUCAUGGUCGCUACAGAUACAGAGCUGUGGGAUGCUGGAGAUGUCUUCACAGAACCCGGUCAGGUCCUCUGCCGCGAGCUGGCGUGUCCCUCGACGUUGCAAGGAAACGACGGCGGUCCCCCGGGAAACUCUGACCCACGCAGGGGCGUGUCUGUGUCCGAAAGGCCUGACGCUCCGGUCCCAGAGUUCCAGAUCAACAAAUUCGAGGAAAUGGCCGUGGUUGUGACCCAUGUGACGAGCCCAAGCGACUUCUACAUCCAGCGCAAGGAGUCGCACCUGAACAGGCUCUCUGAAAUUCAUGACGAAGGCAGCGAUUCCUUUUCCAAGAUGAACCGGCUCCCAGACAUCGGGACGUACGUGAUGGCCUGGUUCCCCGAACACAAGUUGUGGUGUCGUGGCAUCGUGUCCAGGAUCUGUGGGAUGAAUAGACAAGACGGAGAUGAUUCUCCCAGAAAUCUGAGGCUGAUGUCGAGCAUCGAGGUGGAGGUCGUGAGGAUUGAUUACGGAGACUCUGCUCGUCUGUCCCUGUGGAACAUCACAGAGAUGAGCAGCAAGGUGGCUGCCAUUCCUCUUCAGGCUCUGCAGGUUUCUCUGGCAAGUGUGUCUCCAGUAGAAGGGGACGAAUGGUCUGAAGAGGCAGUGAGCUGGUUUAAAGACAAAAUCAGUAACAGGACGCUGUAUGCACGGCUAUAUCCAAAAGAAACCACGGUCGUGGUGGAGCUGUUUAUGGAGAAAGGCAUGAUUGGAGGAAUGAGGAGAGGUCCUGCUCUAUCUUUGAGAUUGGCACAGAAUGGACAUGCAAAGCAUGAUCAUUUGAGGACAUAUUCCCAAAAAAGGAGUGAUGCUCAGGAUAGAGCAAAGAAGCAGUCAUCAGCCUGGGGAAAGUAUGUCAUGUCUGUUUUCCUCAAAACGGGCAGUGAUAUGUAUUCCAUCCCUGUGCAGAAAGAGUACAUUUGAACCUUUCCACCCUCUUUAAGAUGGACUACUUUCGGAAAGUUGAGCUGUGGCUCUUCGGUUUUUAGUUUCUUAUGGCUCAAAUCUCAAAUUACAUAUGUACAUAUUUUAUUUUUUCGCUUCUUCAAUCUUAUUUGCGGUGUUUUUCUAUUUAUAGGUUCUUUUCUGUAGAGAAGUCACCUCACCUGUGUUUGAGUCUCUAGGGUACCAACCAUGCAAAAUUGAAUAGUGGUCUCUGGAUUCCCUCACGCAAGGGUCCAGCUCUCCUUGGGGGUCCCGUCAUAUAAUGCACACACUGGGCACACCCCCUCCGAACUCACGGUUCGCUCCCGCCACUUCUGACCAUCAAUGAUGUCCCAAUAUUACAGAUUUAAUGUCAAUCUUGUAGCAGCACCUGCAAUGUUAUUGGCUUUUGGAAUAGUGGCCUUACAAUACAUACUAAGUGAAUAAAAUAUUUUUUUCA
ensembl:lncRNA transforming growth factor beta activator LRRC33-like